rnacentral:tRNA from 1 species
UACAGGGAUGUGGCUCAGUGGUAGAGUGCUUGCCUAGCCUGCAGGAGGCCCUGGGUUCAAUCCCCAGUGCUGGAA